rnacentral:rRNA from 1 species
UACGGAGGUAGCAAGCGUUACUCGGAUUCAUUGGGUGUAAAGGGCAGGUAGGUGGUCUUGAAAGUCGAAUGUGAAAUCUUCUCGCUUAACGAGAAAACUGCAUUCGAAACUUCGAGGCUUGAGGCUGGAAGAAGAGAAUGGAAUUCCCGGUGUAAGGGUGAAAUCUGUAGAUAUCGGGAGGAACACCAGUAGCGAAAGCGAUUCUCUAGGCCAGUCCUGACACUGAGCUGCGAAAGCUAGGGGAGCAAACAGG